CCUGGUAACAGCUGAUAGGGACCCAAAGGGCAAGCAGAAGCUCCAAAAAUUAGUAUAAAUAAUAGAGCAAAAGGACAGACAUUCAGCCAGCUGACACUGAUGCACACUUGCUGGAGAGCCUGAUGAGGACCUGAACUAACAUCCCAAUUCUUCUCAUCAUCUUCCUGAUCCUCUUCACUUCCUCACCACUCUCAAGCUCUACGGCAGCCUCUUGACCCUGUUGAGAACAGCAACCUCUCCUUACAUCUCCUUGACAGCCAUCAACCCUACUCCAGAAGAAGCCUCCACCGGUUGCUGACCUGAUCGCUGUGGUCUGAUACAUCUUUGAAGAUUUCCUUUGAGGAUUCUCUGACUGGAGGCCUUCAUAACUUUAAAAAAAUACAUAAAGCUGGUACUUCCUCAAAAACUUCUGGGUGCAAUCAAGCAUGUUGACAGGCAUUUUGAAGAGGCCCUCUUUGCUCACUGUGAUGGGGAAGCCUGACCAGUGUCAUCGUGGAGCAAAACAUCAUCUCCAUGGAUACUCAGCUUGUUCCCAAAUAAGUAGUCGCUGCCAAGAACAGGAGACAUCAAGUUGGUGGCAGCAUGGGAGCGUCUCAUGGACAAAUUGGGUGGAUACUGGCAAAUAAAUCACACUGGACCUCAAUUCUGUCUUCAAGCUGUGUGAAAAAAAUAAGCU